AGAAUCUUAGGCUUAUCAUCCAGGCAUGGGCCUUUCAGGAGAUGCUGCGCUCUGUUUGACGAUGAACCGGAUCAAGGUCUCAACAGCAACACUGGCACGCAUCCUACAGAAACAAACAUAUUCAAAUGAAGCAAAUUUAUCGAGUGCCUUUCGAGCGUAAUUCUGAAAGGGUGAAACGACUGCGGCAUGAUUAUGCAGAGAGAGUUUUACGAAUGGAUGGAGAGGAGAUCCAGCAUGAGUUCAUUUACGUAGAUGAGGCUGGGUUCAACCUGACGAGAACACGAAGGAGGGGAAGAAACAUCAUUGGCCACAGGGCUAUAGUCAAUGUCCCAGGGCAACGUGGGGGUAAUAUAACACUCUGUGCAGCCAUUACACAGAAUGGGGUCCUCCACCGCCAUGCCCAUAUGGGCCCUUACAACACAGCACUCAUACUUACAUUCUUGGACCAAUUGCACAACAUAAGAGCAGCAAAUCAAAUCAAUCAUAUGCAAUACAUUGUUGUCUGGGACAAUGUGUCUUUCCACCGCUCUGCUCUGGUUCAGAUCUGGUUUCAUCAACAUCCACAUUUCACCGUCCUAUAUCUUCCACCAUACUCUCCAUUCCUCAACCCUAUAGAAGAGUUUUUCUCGGCAUGGCGGUGGAAGGUAUAUGAUCUCCGUCUCCAGGCUGAGGUACCCCUCAUCCAAGCCAUGGAGGAGGCCUGUGACCAGACGGAGGUAGCAAAUCAAAUCAAAUCAAAUCAAAUUGAUUUAUAUAGCCCUUCGUACAUCAGCUGAUAUCUCAAAGUGCUGUACAGAAACCCAGCCUAAAACCCCAAACAGCAAGCAAUGCAGGUGUAGAAGCACGGUGGCUAGGAAAAACUCCCUAAAAAGGCC
ensembl:lncRNA